CCUUAGUUGACCUAGAUCCCACCGUACAUGCCUAAAAGCUGGCUGGCUUAUUCCACUUUCGAAUUAUUUGUGUUUCUAAGGAGCCUUUUUUUACUCUUUGUCACAGGUUUUAGAAAAUCUCAUCUUCUGUGUUGUCACCAGGAUCUCUCUCUGGACUCCUCUUAGCUCCUGAAUUCUUGUCAUCUGCAUGGAGAAUUCAGAUGGGACACACAGAACACAGCAUAAGAGACAGGCUGUGUAGAGAGCAGUGAAAUGCACUCAUGGACAGUGGCUAAAGAGACAGCUGUCUCCUCCAUUUCAGGGGUGACCAUGGACUCUGAGAAAAUUUAUGAAGAGUGACUUCAAGGAGAAAGAUCAACUUACAGUAAUGUGUGGCUCUUGUUCAGACCUCAAAACGCUGAUUGCAUGGAAAACAGAGAGGCCUUCUUCGUGCUGUCAACUAAAAUACCUACACUCCAUCCUACUGACAGGCAGAACAUUUCCCACCUACGUGGUAGCCCAGGGCACUGAUAAUUCUCAAUGACAAGCAGAGAGAAGACACAUCAUCAGAGAAACUGAAGGAGGAGUUGCACCUGACUCAUACUUUUCAGAGUUCUGCCACAGAGGGAGAAGUCACCUGCCUUGUCUGGGAAUCAGCAAAUCUGGAUUCUAUUUAUAGAUUCCCUUUAACCUGUCUGCUCUCAGUUCUGUCUUCACCCCAGAUUUAGAAAGAUCAGAUAUCUGCAGUGUUUCAGCCUUUCAAAUGCAAGCUGCUAAUUUGCUCUUCACAUUUACCUAUUUUUUUUUCUUCAGGGUUAAACUUUUUCAAGUCUGGAAAACUCAGAUAUCACGAGUCCACUGCCUUUGCUGAUUCCAGGUCUCUUGCAAUAUUCUUCAUUCCCAACCUGCUAGUUUCAUGAUUUAACCCAUGUUUAGCAGUUUGGUAGAAGAAAAUGAAGGUGACUGUCUAGCACACACAAUCUCAGUAUUCAAGGAAGAAGCAGGUAGAUCUCUGUGAGUUCAAGGUUAGCCUGGUCUACAUAGCAAACAAACA